AUGCCAUCUCCGCCGCCUUCACUCUCAUCGCUAUGCCGCCGCCUGUGCUUCCUCCUGACCAUCCUCUUCAUGCUCUCCUCCGCGCGCAGGUGCGCUUCUUUCGCUGCCUCCAUCCGCUGCUUUUCCUGGUACUGUGCGUCAACGCCUCCCCCUUCUGUUCCCCGCAGCAGCCUGGAGGAGGAGGCCAGGGCCCUUAGCGUCGGCGAUGAGCUGGUGGGCGAGACCAUCCCGCUUCGCUACGGCCGGAGGCUCUACAGGCUCGCCGGGCUACGGCCGCCCGCGUGGUACGAAAUCAAGAUCUCCUACCCGACCUCCAUACCGUCCAGCUUCUCCAUUCGCCUCGUGAACGAUCCUAAUGCCGUUGAGGAUUUGGGGAGUAAGAACAGGAGGUUGCUCAACACGGAGAAGAUACUUUUCAAGGCUGAGAGCACCAGGCCGGUUUAUGUUCUUGUCAUGGUGGAGCCUGAGGGUGUGGUUGCAAAGCCAAAUGUGCCAGAGCGAGAGCUUGCCCUGUUCAACAUUGUUUGCGACGAACUUUUGCUGGGGAUCCCACUUUUUGCCUGGUGGGUGGGAACUGCAGCAUUAAUUUGCAUUGUGCUGGCAUCAAUAGCACCAUAUUUCCUUCCGCUGCACAAGCUACUUAACUAUGAAGCUGCAGAAUUGAGCAGCGUUGAUGCAGCUAAGCUUUCCUGA
rnacentral:rRNA from 1 species